AGCGAACGCUGGCGGCAUGCCUAACACAUGCAAGUCGCACGGGGGGGCUUCGGCCUCCCAGUGGCGGACGGGUGAGGAACGCGUAGGGACCUGUCGAGGGGUGGGGGAUAACCGCGGGAAACUGCGGCUAAUACCGCAUGACGCCGCGGCGUGACAGCCGGGGCCAAAGGCGAAAGCCGCCCGCCGAGGGGCCUGCGUCCGAUUAGCUGGUUGGCGGGGUAGCGGCCCACCAAGGCGUCGAUCGGUAGCUGGUCUGAGAGGGUGAUCAGUCACACCGGGACUGAGACACGGCCCGGACUCCUACGGGAGGCAGCAGUGGGGAAUAUUGGACAAUGGGCGCAAGCCUGAUCCAGCAAUGCCGCGUGGGUGAAGAAGGUCUUCGGAUUGUAAAGCCCUUUCGGCGGGGACGAUGGUGACGGUACCCGCAGAAGAAGCCCCGGCUAACUUCGUG
rnacentral:rRNA from 1 species